rnacentral:rRNA from 1 species
CUUGAGAAACCUAAAAGUUCGAAAAGAGAGAUUCAACGUCAAUUUGUAUUGUAUUCACGUGAGUAGUGAUGUGAGUUUUUGAUGAUUGGGUCAAACCUUUUAUUCGAUACUUGCACAUUUUCAUGUUAUUUUAUUGCAAUAUCAGACCGGCGUGCACUUCUCUCUUAGUAGGACGUCCCGACCCGUUGAGUCUUGGCCUACGGCACAGAUGGUAGCCUUUAACAUUUUAAUGUUAAAGACCUCUGAUGUACUCCUGGCUAAAGUACUCGACGGUAGUUUAUGACGUGGUGUCCAGCCGCAUUUUUAAUGCGCCCGGCCAGUCGCAAGUUUUUGAUGUAUUCCGUAUUAUCAUAGACAGCGUGCUAUGUAUAUGGUUAUGUCGCUUUGCAUGACUGUGCUUUAGGGCCGGCUUACUUCGCCUGUCUGGGACGCUUAGGCUUUGGGUACUCUCAAGACCCGUCUUGAAACACGGACCAAGGAGUCUAACAUGUACGCGAGUCAUUGGGUAUAUAUUAUCCUUCGGGAUUUUAUAUAAAACAAACCUAAAGGCGAAAUGAAAGUAAAGGCCGAACCUAGCGUUUAGCUUAGGGAUGAUGAGUUAUUAAUUUAUCUCCGCAAUCCCAGGGCGUCUUAAUCUCAUUGCGAGAUGA